GCAGGUAUCUUCCCAGCCUACACGUAGGUCCUGAAAUCUGCAGGCUGGUUUGAUGGUUGUC
rnacentral:pre_miRNA from 1 species